rnacentral:lncRNA from 1 species
ACAUCCUGUGGCUGCUACUGACUAGUGGAUAGUCAGGCUUCAGCAGCAGCAGUGUUUACUGACAAUCCCCUGUGAUGUGGCGAAUGAGAAGGAAAACAGUGUUGAAUUUCACACACACAUCCUAGAUUCUUUUCAGAGGGGUGUGCUGCUGCAACCAGGAUGCUGCUCAGUGCCCAGCGAAGAGACAGGAGCUCCCGCCUCUACCCAGAAGCUGGAGGACAGAGAAGCCGGCUAGACUCCAAUACAGUGCUUCUGGAAAGCAGCGCAGAAGGCAAAGAAGUAAAGAUAAGUGGGGAACCAGGGCUCCUGAAGCCAGGAAAGUGAAGACUGGCCCUUUCCCUUCCUUCUGUGCCUGUUGCCCCCUCAAGCCCUCCCCCACCCCUUGGUUCUCUUCCUUCCAUCUCCUUCUGGCUUCAUUUUAGUUGUAUUUUGCCUCAUCCUUCCUCAUCCCUUGCUUCAUCCUCAAAUUUUUUUUUGGGGGGGGUCUUUUUAGGGCCGCACCCACAGCAUAUGGAGGUUCUCAGACUGGGGGUCGAAUCAGAGCUACAGCCACCGGCCUGCACCACAGCCAUAGCAACGCCAGGUCCUUAACCUACUGAGUGAGGCCAGGGAUCGAACCUGCGUCCUCAUGGAUGCUGGUCAGAUUCGUUUCCACUGAGCCACGACAGGAACUCCUGUCCACAAUUUUAUUGCUGCACGUAUGUGAGAAAACCAUCAGAUCAAAAAGCAGUCCCUCUGGAAGCCUGGACUACCCUUAAGACCAAAUUAGAUUAAUUAUGCCCAGACAAGCUUUUAAAAUACUUUGAAAAGAAAGAAGGAAAAUCAAAUGAACUAAAAACUCGAGUUCAGUGGCCUUGAGAUCAUGUGGCUCAUUGGCAUAUUUGGAUAAGGUUUUUGUUGGAAAACUUACUUCUGUAAGAGAAUCAGUCAAAUAGAAGUUCACCAAAUGCAGUUAUAGCGCCAAAUACUCUUGAAACAGACUCCCAGGUCAACUCUCCCUGCCCCCGAGAGACAUGGGUUUCUGGAGAGGCAUGCUUUUCUGGAUGGAGAAUUUGGAAGAGCCUCCUCCCCUCUGCCUACUCUGUCGUGGGCAAGUGGCCUGGAGCAUAGGACAGAAAGGAUGGUUUUUCUAAGUCUUGUAAGGGUGACACGUUUCUUUCCUUUUGUAGCCAAAAAUAAAGGGUGUGGAUCAAGCAGGCCCCCUCUCGACCAUGGCAUUUCGGACUUGGCAUUUUGAAAUUUGGGGCCAGGUGAGACUGUGGGGGGUUGUCUGUGCACUGAAGGUUGUUCAGCACCAUCCCUGGCGUCACCCACUAGAUGCCAGUAGCAUGCCCACUGCCCCCAGGUCGUGACAACAACAAAAUAUCUUCAUACGUUGCCAAAUGUCUCCUGGGCAACCGGAUCGACCCUUUGAGAACUACUGGGUCGAUUGAGUGGUUGAGAACCACUUCUUGAGAGAAAGGAAUGGAAUAUCCUGUACAAAGAUCGUAAGUGUUUUUAAAUGUUUAUGGAAAGAUGAUAGUUUAGAAAAAAAUAUGAUGAUAGCUUAACUUUCAGAGCUUCUAAGCUGCUCCAAGCUGUUAUUCCUGCUAAACUAUAAGCUUCAUAAGGGCAGGAACAAUAGAGGUCUUAUUUACUGCCAUAGUCCUAGGAUGCGGUAUAAUGUCCAGGACAUAGUAGGUGCUUAUAAACACUUGUGGGCCGCCCCAUUUAAUAAGCAAAUACUACAUGCUACACACCAAGGCACGUUCACAUAUGAACCCUAAUCCUCUCAACAACGCUAAAACAUUAAAAAAGUAAAACUCUUCAGAAGUUUCUGUUGUGGCUAGACGAUUUACAAACCUGGCUGGUAUCCCUGAAGAUGAGGGUUCAAUCCCUGGCUUCUCUUGGUGGGUUGAGGAUCUGGUAUUGCCUUAGGCUGUGGUGGAGAUGGCAGAUGGGCUCAACCGAUUCAACCCCUAGCCUGGGAACUUCUGUAUGCCACGGAUGCGGCCCUAAAAGAAAGCAAAAAAAAGAAAGAAAGAAAGAAAGAAAAGUGAAACUCUUCAAUAAAGCAGAUUCAGAUAUCACAUAACUGCUAUUUGACGCCCAAUUCCUGCCCUUCUCCCAGCCUCUGUUCUCAAAUGGGAUGAGCUGAAGUUCUUAGCAACCAGAGUGGCCGCAAGCUUCUCUGGGGAGAUGGGGAGGCAGAGAGUGAGUCCCUGUGUCUCUAGUAUUAUUCCAGCCAAACUUUCUUGGAGCCAAAAGACACAAUGGGUGCCAGGGAACUAGGAGAUUCCUGGGAUUAAGGCUGCUGUCCUGGGAGCUUUAGCCAGUCACGGAGCCCAUGCUCGUCCCCAUCAAUAUUUAAACCAGAGUAAACAAUGCCCACAGCAGAGGCAGAAAAGAUUUGGUGCAAAAAGCCAGAGCCCAAACCCAAGUCCCUUCAUUAACUUCUCAAAGGAGGAAAGUGAGGCUUUACGCCUUUGCAUGACUUGUUCAAAAACACAAAACUGCUCUGUGUGGUAACUUAAGAUUUGAACCAGGCAAGGCUGGGCUGUCUCCAUCCUCUUCCCACAUAUGCUCUUCCAGAGUGGAGCUGGUGAAAACCACUCCUGCAUUCCAUGUGUUAUAAUCCCCUGAAUGGUUUGGAGCAGGGGGGCACAUUCUCUAUUGUGUUGGCUGAGGCGGGGCAGGUGACCAGGACCUGGUGUGGAGCCAACAGCCUGGAAGUUACGCCAUGCUGGAGUGCGGCGGGCAUACCAGGAUGAAGAGCAGGCAGGACUGGACUGGCCUGGAAAGAACCGGCAGAGGCAAAAAACUGUGCUAUUGUGGAGUUGAACAAGAUUCACGUGUAAGUGAUGUCCUGUGGUGUUUGGGGCUGGCAUAUGGAUGCCGUGGUAUAUGGAAUCACUGGCCAGUGAGGACCUGCUGUACGGCAUGGGGAACUCUACCUCAUAUGCUGUGAUAAUCUCUAUGGGAAAAGAAUCUGAAAAACAAUGGAUGUAUAUACAUGUAUAACAGAAUCAUUUUGCUGUACAACAGAAAUUAUCACAACAUUGUAAAUCAACUCUACUUCAACAAACUUUAAAAAAUGAAAAAAAAAA